UAUAGAAUGGCAAGACCAUAAUCUACUCGCCAUCACCGAAUCGUGGACGUUGUAAAGAGCCUGAAAGCAAGUAAUGAUAUCUCUGUUAGAACUGUAAAAUGAUGCUCACGAGGUUAUGGGAAAUACAACAUGUUUAAUUUUAUGCAUAAUAAAUUAUUAAAUAAUGUA